rnacentral:rRNA from 1 species
AACGAACGUUAGCGGCGCGCCUAACACAUGCAAGUCGCACGAGAAAGGGCUUCGGCCCCGGUAAAGUGGCGCACGGGUGAGUAACACGUGGGUAAUCUGCCCUCGAGCUGGGGAUAACAU